AGUGAACGCUGGCGGUAGGCCUAACACAUGCAAGUCGAACGGCAGCACAGUAAGAGCUUGCUCUUACGGGUUGCGAGUGGCGGACGGGUGAGGAAUACAUCGGAACCUACUUUUUCGUGGGGGAUAACGUAGGGAAACUUACGCUCAUACCGCAUACGACCUACGGGUGAAAGCAGGGGAUCUUCGGACCUUGCGCGAUUGAAUGAGCCGAUGUCGGAUUAGCUAGUUGGCGGGGUAAAGGCCCACCAAGGCGACGAUCCGUAGCUGGUCUGAGAGGAUGAUCAGCCACACUGGAACUGAGACACGGUCCAGACUCCUACGGGAGGCAGCAGUGGGGAAUAUUGGACAAUGGGCGCAAGCCUGAUCCAGACAUACCGCGUGGGUGAAGAAGGCCUUCGGGUUGUAAAGCCCUUUUGUUGGGAAAGAAAAGCAGCAGGUUAAUACCCCGCUGUUCUGACGGUACCCUAAGAAUAAGCACCGGCUAACUUCGUG
rnacentral:rRNA from 1 species